rnacentral:rRNA from 1 species
CCAGUUGUUAGCAUUAUACCGCGAAACUGCGAAUGGCUCAUUAUAUAAGUUAUCGUUUAUUUGAUAAUACUUUACUACUUGGAUAACCGUGGUAAUUCUAGAGCUAAUACAUGCUGAAAAUCCCGACUUCGGAAGGGAUGUAUUUAUUAGAUUAAAAACCAAUGCCCCUCGGGGCUCUCUGGUGAAUCAUGAUAACUAGUCGAAUCGACAGGCCUUGUGCCGGCGAUGGCUCAUUCAAAUUUCUUCCCUAUCAACUUUCGAUGUUUGGGUAUUGGCCAAACAUGGUGGCAACGGGUAACGGAGGGUUAGGGCUCGACCCCGGAGAAGGAGCCUGAGAAACGGCUACUACAUCCAAGGAAGGCAGCAGGCGCGCAAAUUACCCAAUCCCGACACGGGGAGGUAGUGACAAUAAAUACUGAUACAGGGCUCUUUUGGGUCUUGUAAUCGGAAUGAGUACAAUUUAAAUCCCUUAACGAGGAACAAUUGGAGGGCAAGUCUGGUGCCAGCAGCCGCGGUAAUUCCAGCUCCAAUAGCGUAUAUUAAAGUUGUUGUGGUUAAAAAGCUCGUAGUUGAACCUUGGGCCUGGCUGGCCGGUCCGCCUCACCGCGUGCACUGGUCCGGCCGGGCCUUUCCCUCUGCGGAACCCCAUGCCCUUCACUGGGUGUGGCGGGGAAACAGGACUUUUACUUUGAAAAAAUUAGAGUGCUCAAGGCAGGCCUAUGCUCGAAUACAUUAGCAUGGAAUAAUAGAAUAGGACGUGUGGUUCUAUUUUGUUGGUUUCUAGGACCGCCGUAAUGAUUAAUAGGGACAGUCGGGGGCAUCAGUAUUCAAUUGUCAGAGGUGAAAUUCUUGGAUUUAUUGAAGACUAACUACUGCGAAAGCAUUUGCCAAGGAUGUUUUCAUUAAUCAGGAACGAAAGUUAGGGGAUCGAAGACGAUCAGAUACCGUCGUAGUCUUAACCAUUAAA